AGAGUUUGAUCCUGGCUCAGAACGAACGCUGGCGGCGCGUUUUAAGCAUGCAAGUCGAACGGUAGAGGUCCUUCGGGAUCUUGAGAGUGGCGAACGGGUGAGUAACACGUAGAUGAUCUGCCUUUAAGUUGGGGAUAGCCUAUAGAAAUAUGGGGUAAUACCGAAUAAUACCUUAGGACUUUGGUUUUUUGGUGAAAGGGGCUUCGGCCUCGCUUUGAGAUGAGUCUGCGGUCUAUUAGCUAGUUGGUAGGGUAAGAGCCUACCAAGGCGACGAUAGAUAGCCGGCCUGAGAGGGUGACCGGCCACAUUGGGACUGAGACACGGCCCAAACUCCUACGGGAGGCAGCAGCUAAGAAUCUUCCGCAAUGGGCGCAAGCCUGACGGAGCGACGCCGCGUGGACGAAGAAUGCCGAGAGGUUGUAAAGUCCUUUUAUAUGCGAAGAAUAAUACCGGUAGGUAAUGAUCGGUAGAUGACGUUAGCUUAUGAAUAAGCUCCGGCCAAUUACGUGCCAGCAGCCGCGGUAACACGUAAGGAGCGAGCGUUGUUCGGAAUUAUUGGGCGUAAAGGGCAUGUAGGCGGUUACAUAAGUCUGAUGUGAAAUACUACAGCUUAACUGUAGAAACGCAUUGGAAACUGUGUGACUUGAAUCUGUGAGGGGUAACUGGAAUUCCUAGUGUAGGGGUGAAAUCUGUUGAUAUUAGGAAGAACACCGAUGGCGAAGGCAAGUUACUGGCACAUGAUUGACGCUGAGAUGCGAAAGCGUAGGGAGCGAACAGGAUUAGACACCCUGGUAGUCCAUGCCGUGAACGAUGAACACUAGGUGUGGCGGACUCAUUGACGUCUGCCGUGCCGAAGCUAACGCAUUAAGUGUUCCGCCUGGGGAGUACGGCCGCAAGGCUAAAACUCAAAGGAAUUGACGGGGCCCCGCACAAGCGGCGGAGCAUGCGGCUUAAUUCGAUGCAACCCGAAGAACCUUACCUGGACUUGACAUCAUGGGUCUACCUGUAGAAAUACGGGGUGCUUAUGCGCCCAUGACAGGUGGUGCAUGGCUGUCGUCAGCUCGUGUCGUGAGAUGUUGGGUUAAGUCCCGCAACGAGCGCAACCCCUGUCCUAUGUUGCCAGCACGUAAUGGUGGGGACUCAUGGGAGACUGCCGGGGAUAACUCGGAGGAAGGCGGGGAUGACGUCAAGUCAUCAUGCCCCUUAUGUCCAGGGCUGCACGCAUGCUACAAUGGGUGGUACAACGGGCUGCGAUCUCGCAAGAGUGAGCGAAUCCCUUAAAGCCAUCCCUAGUUCGGAUUGGAGUCUGCAACUCGACUCCAUGAAGCCGGAGUCGCUAGUAAUCGUGGAUCAGCAAAGCCGCGGUGAAUACGUUCUCGGGGCUUGUACACACCGCCCGUCACAUCACGGAAGUCGGUAACGCCCGAAGUCAGUGGCCCAACCCUUGUGGAGGGAGCUGCCUAAGGUGGGAUCGGUGACUGGGAUGAAGUCGUAACAAGGUA
rnacentral:rRNA from 1 species